CGUAGUCGAUGGACAACAGGUUGAUAUUCCUGUACCCGCGCAUUGAGUGAUGGAGUGACAAAGAAGGCUAACCGGACCGGUAAAUGGAUUCCGGACCAAGCGAGGUAGGAGGCAGUCAGGCAAAUCCGGCUGUCAAUCUGAAGGCGUGAUGGGGAGCGAACAGCGCGAGCUAAGUAGCGAGGACGGCGAUGCCAGCUUUCAAGAAAAGCUUCUAGCGCUAAUCGAUGAGCGGCCCGUACCAACACCGACACAGGUGGUCAAGGCGAGAAGCCUAAGGUGAGCGAGAGAACUGUUGCCAAGGAACUCGGCAAAAUAGCCCCGUACGUUCGCAAGAAGGGGCGCUCGAAAGAGCCGCAGUGAAGAGGCCCAAGCGACUGUUUAACUAAAACACAGCUCUCUGCAAAGUCGCAAGACGAAGUAUAGGGGGUGACUCCUGCCCGGUGCUGGAAGGUUAAGAGGAUGUGUCAUUCCGAAAGGGAGAAGCAUUGAAUUGAAGCCCCAGUGAACGGCGGCCGUAACUAUAACGGUCCUAAGGUAGCGAAAUUCCUUGUCAGGUAAGUUCUGACCCGCACGAAAGGCGUAAUGAUUUGGGCGCUGUCUCGGCAGCAGACUCGGUGAAAUCUUAGUACCUGUGAAGAUGCAGGUUACCCGCAACUAGACGGAAAGACCCCAUGGAGCUUUACUGUAGCCUGAUAUUGAAUUUUGAUCAAACAUGUACAGGAUAGGUGGGAGACAGAGAGACCUGCACGCCAGUGUAGGAGGAGUCGACGUUGGGAUACCACCCUUGUUUGAUUGAAGUUCUAACCUGCUUCCGUGACCCGGAAGAGGGAGAGUGUCAGGUGGGCAGUUUGACUGGGGCGGUCGCCUCCUAAAGAGUAACGGAGGCGCCCAAAGGUACCCUCAGAUUGGUUGGAAAUCAAUCGACGAGUGCAAAUGCAGAAGGGUGCUUGACUGCGAGACCCACAAGUCGAGCAGGGACGAAAGUCGGGAUUAGUGAUCCGGCGGUGCCGAAUGGAAGGGCCGUCGCUCAACGGAUAAAAGCUACCCUGGGGAUAACAGGCUGAUCUCGCCCAAGAGUUCACAUCGACGGCGAGGUUUGGCACCUCGAUGUCGGCUCAUCGCAUCCUGGAGCUGAAGUCGGUUCCAAGGGUUGGGCUGUUCGCCCAUUAAAGCGGUACGCGAGCUGGGUUCAGAACGUCGUGAGACAGUUCGGUCCCUAUCUGUUGUGGGCGUAGGAAAUUUGAGGAGAUCUGUCCUUAGUACGAGAGGACCGGGAUGGACCUACCGCUGGUGCACCAGUUGUAUCGCCAGAUGCAUAGCUGGGUAGCUAAGUGGGGAACGGAUAAACGCUGAAGGCAUCUAAGCGUGAAACCGACUCCGAGAUGAGAUUUCCCAUUUCCAAGAGAAAGUAAGACCCCUUGAAGACGACGAGGUAGAUAGGUCAGAGAUGGAAGCACAGCGAUGUGUGGAGUUGACUGAUACUAAUCGGUCGAGGAUUUAAUCA
rnacentral:rRNA from 1 species